rnacentral:rRNA from 1 species
CUACGGGCGGCUCCAGUGAGGAAUUUUGCGCAAUGGGGGAAACCCUGACGCAGCAACGCCGCGUGAGCGAAGAAGGCCUUCGGGUCGUAAAGCUCUGUCAAGUGGGAAAAAAAUUCUUUGAUGAACAGUCAAAGGACUUGAUGGUACCACUGGAGGAAGCACCGGCUAACUCCGUGCCAGCAGCCGCGGUAAUACGGAGGGUGCAAGCGUUGUUCGGAAUUACUGGGCGUAAAGAGCGUGUAGGCGGUUUGACAAGUCAGAUGUGAAAGCCCCGGGCUCAACCCGGGAAGUGCAUUUGAAACUGUUUGACAAGAGUAUGGGAGAGGAGAUUGGAAUUCCUGGUGUAGAGGUGAAAUUCGUAGAUAUCAGGAGGAACACCCGUGGCGAAGGCGAUUCUCUGGACCAAUACUGACGCUGAGACGCGAAAGCGUGGGGAGCAAACAGGAUUAGAUACCCUCGUAGUC